rnacentral:lncRNA from 1 species
AACAGUCUUUUCAUAUAAUUUAACAUUGGAUUUCAACUCGUGCGCGCGCGCGCGCACACACACGCAUAUAUCACUACAACAGAAUUAGGUUAUAGGGACACAUGUUUGGGACACUUUUGUGUAAGUGUCACAUUUAUGCCUAAAUUUUAAAAAAAAUCUACUAACACCUAAAUAUAAAGCUUAAUCCAACCAAAAACAAAAAGUUAUUCUACUCAACCCACCCCACCCAGUCCAUUCGGCCCAAUUACAAAUAAAAAAAAAAAAAAUUAGAAAAAUCGAUUACCAUCUCCCCUUCUCCCCUCACUCAAUCCACUAAAAUUUUAGACGAAGAACACUUCCCUCUCGUCCUUCUCCGCCACCGCAGCCAACGAGAUAGAGUUCCGGCGGUUGCUAAAUGCUUAAAUAAGUGUUGGUAAAUUAGCAGCACUCUUUUAAGUUAUAGCGACACUCUUUAACUGUCACUAUAUAUAUAUAUAUAUAUAUAUAUAUAUAUAUAU